UACGUAGGGACCAAGCGUUGUUCGGAUUUACUGGGCGUAAAGGGCGCGUAGGCGGCGCGGUAAGUCACUUGUGAAAUCUCUGAGCUUAACUCAGAACGGCCAAGUGAUACUGCAGUGCUAGAGUGUGGAAGGGGCAAUCGGAAUUCUUGGUGUAGCGGUGAAAUGUGUAGAUAUCAAGAGGAACACCUGAGGUGAAGACGGGUUGCUGGGCCAACACUGACGCUGAUGCGCGAAAGCCAGGGGAGCAAACGGG
rnacentral:rRNA from 1 species